rnacentral:misc_RNA from 1 species
AUCUGGAUUGCUGGGCAACUGGCUACCCAUGUGGGUUUUUAGUUCCAUUUUUCAGAGGGAAAGAGAGGAAAGGAAGCAGAAGAUAAGGGGAAAAAGUAGUCUCAGUUUGAAAGUUUUUGUGGCACUAAUAUCAAUAUGAUGAUUCGUUGUGAGUUCAAACAAAUUGGCAUGUGUGAGUGAUAGAAAAGUACAACUCUUUAAAUUAAACUGCUUAAGAUCAUGCAAGGCCAAAAGUCAAAGUAUAUGGGUAUAUGGAUCAUACAAUGUGUUAACACACGAAAUUCUGAUUGUUUAAGUUAAAAGAUAUGAAGAAAUGAAAGGCUCAAAUAAGAUAUGGGCCUCUUCUUUCUCUAAUUUUCCACCUCUUCUUUUACAUAUUUGUGGAGCAUUAGCAAGGUCAUUAGAAAUUCUAAGAAUCAUCAAUAUUACC